rnacentral:rRNA from 1 species
UACAGAGGGUGCGAGCGUUGUCCGGAAUCACUGGGCGUAAAGGGUGCGUAGGCGGGUCUUUAAGUCAGGGGUGAAAUCCUGGAGCUCAACUCCAGAACUGCCUUUGAUACUGAAGAUCUUGAGUUCGGGAGAGGUGAGUGGAACUGCGAGUGUAGAGGUGAAAUUCGUAGAUAUUCGCAAGAACACCAGUGGCGAAGGCGGCUCACUGGCCCGGUACUGACGCUGAGGUGCGAAAGCGUGGGGAGCAAACAGG